rnacentral:lncRNA from 1 species
GGAGGUGAAAGGAUGAAUAGAAGUGGAUGAAAAUGUGAAACUCGUUUGGAUGGAUGAAAUAAUGAGGGGCAGAGGAGGACUCAUGGCACUUCCAUGGUUACCUGAAAGGCCUGGCCUUGGUUUGUACACUUCUCCCUCCUUCCCUCACACAUCUGAUGUGAAUGGAUGGAUGAAAACAGGAAAUGAAUGAAAUAUACUCCCCAUGCUCUGUUCGCCUGGAACGCUGGCAUGACCCAAAAAGGCAAAGGAGACAAAAACAACCAACAAAAACAUUAAAGGGGAGAAGGGAAGGAUUAAUAUUAGUUAAUGUUGUUUCAAUUUCAAAAUUAAGUAGUCCAUGCAUAGUUUACUCAGUCAAGAUAUGUCAUAAAUGUUGAGAAUGCUAACUUUGAAAUAUAUGUAUGUAUGU